rnacentral:rRNA from 1 species
GACGAACGCUGGCGGCGUGCCUAAUACAUGCAAGUAGAACGCUGAAGAGAGGAGCUUGCUCUUCUUGGAUGAGUUGCGAACGGGUGAGUAACGCGUAGGUAACCUGCCUGGUAGCGGGGGAUAACUAUUGGAAACGAUAGCUAAUACCGCAUAAAAUUGAUUAUUGCAUGAUAAUUAAUUGAAAGAUGCAAUUGCAUCACUACCAGAUGGACCUGCGUUGUAUUAGCUAGUUGGUGUGGUAACGGCUCACCAAGGCGACGAUACAUAGCCGACCUGAGAGGGUGAUCGGCCACACUGGGACUGAGACACGGCCCAGACUCCUACGGGAGGCAGCAGUAGGGAAUCUUCGGCAAUGGGGGGAACCCUGACCGAGCAACGCCGCGUGAGUGAAGAAGGUUUUCGGAUCGUAAAGCUCUGUUGUAAGAGAAGAACGGGUGUGAGAGUGGAAAGUUCACACUGUGACGGUAUCUACCAGAAA